rnacentral:lncRNA from 1 species
UUUUUCUCCAGAGCAGCAUAAGCCAAGCUCUAUGGAAUGUUGGGUGAGCUGUUUGAGGAACUCCAAGGCCUGUCCCACAGUCUUCCAGCCUCCCACUCUCCGGCCCUCAGCGUGGAAGUCCCACUGGUUUUUUUGGUUGUUUUUUUUUUAAGGUUUUUUGGUGGUUUUUUUUUUUUUUCUCAUUCCUGUCUUGGGAGUUUUCCCCAACCAGGAGAGUGAAGAUGGGCGGAGCUGUCACACCAACUGUUAGCCUGCCUUGGCUGAGAGGAGAGGAGGCGAGGAGGGAACGACCACCCAGCUUUAGUCAUUUUAAAACAGUUCCUGACCCUAGGAGAAGGGAAAUGGAGAUGAAGACUCAAUUAACUUGGUAUGAAGUUUAAAUGCCCCUUUAAGACUUGGGGGUCGAGGACAGUGAGAUUGGCUCAGUGGAUAGAUUCACUUGCCUCUAAGCCUGACAACCUAAGUUAAUAUCCUCUACCCACAUAUGGAAGGAAAAAACUGACUUCCAAAAGUUGUCCUCUGACCUCCACACAGAGACCAUGGCCUGUGCACCACCCCCCGAAAAUGUAAUCUAUUUUUUAAAAAGACAUGGGGACUUCCAUUCAAUGUCUCCCAAUGUUUGGGGAUUUCCUUUCCUUAUUUCCUUACUCCCUGUCGGUGCCCUAGAGGAGACAGAGAGAGUCUAACUACGGAGAGGUCAUUCUCUAGGUUGGUUGGUGGAAUAUUCAGGACUCCUGGGAAGGCUCCAACUGG